UCCCUGGUGGCUCAGACGGUAAAGCGUCUGCCUGCAAUGCAGGAGACCUGGGUUCGAUUCCUGAGUCAGGAA
rnacentral:tRNA from 1 species